rnacentral:rRNA from 1 species
GUUCCAUUCAAAUUUCUGCCCUAUCAACUUUCGAUGGUAGGAUAGUGGCCUACCAUGGUUUCAACGGGUAACGGGGAAUUAGGGUUCUAUUCCGGAGAGGGAGCCUGAGAAACGGCUACCACAUCCAAGGAAGGCAGCAGGCGCGCAAAUUACCCAAUCCCGACCGGGGAGGUAGUGACAAUAAAUACUGAUACAGGGCUCUUUAGGGUCUUGUAAUUGGAAUGAGUACAAUUUAAAUCCCUUAACGAGGAACAAUUGGAGGGCAAGUCUGGUGCCAGCAGCCGCGGUAAUUCCAGCUCCAAUAGCGUAUAUUAAAGUUGUUGCAGUUAAAAAGCUCGUAGUUG